UGGGCGUAAGCGCGCGCAGGUGGUUUCUUAAGUCUGAUGUGAAAGCCCACGGCUCAACCGUGGAGGGUCAUUGGAAACUGGGAGACUUGAGUGCCCAAGAGGAAAGUGGAAUUCCAUGUGUAGCGGUGAAAUGCGUAGAGAUAUGGAGGAACACCAGUGGCGAAGGCGACUUUCUGGUCUGUAACUGACACUGAGGCGCGAAAGCGUGGGGAGCAAACAGGAUUAGAUACCCUGGUAGUCCACGCCGUAAACGAUGAGUGCUAAGUGUUAGAGGGUUUCCGCCCCUUCGUGCUGAAGCUAACGC
rnacentral:rRNA from 1 species